CAGAAACAUUUAGUAUUGAUAUUGGGUGACCGUGGUCAAUGAGCUCGCCAAGCUUUUAAGAUGUACCUGGCUGAUUCCGUGCAGCGUGGUGGCAGGUAAACGCAGCAGGGCGAGGACCCGGGUAUCUCCACGCCCUGGCCCAUUUCUUGUCUAUACCAAUAAUGAAAAGUGUGCGGUCACAGUUGGAAGGGGCUACUCCUAGGGCAGGGGGCUUGCCAAAGGGACCACCCUCCAUCGGGAAAGCUGGAACCAGCUGUGGGCGGACUGAGCCCGAGUGCCGAGGAGCUGCGGAGCCCUGGGGGUGGGGGGCGAGCAGCUAUCGCUUCUUUUGACCCCGCUCCGCCGGGCUGCGGGCCAGCCCGACCCCGGAAUCCUGCAGCCGAGACACCGGCUAGUUCACGCUGCCGGGUGUCGACGAUUAAACCAGAGGUUCAGAUUAUACUGGAAAAAAUUAAGUAACGUAUACUAAGCUAUUUAGUCAUGGCUCAUAAAAAGGCAGACUUCUAGGUAUAGCCAUUAAAAAAAGAAAACCAUUUAAUUUGACAAGGAAGAAACACUUUUAAGUGAUUACUGGGAAGAGACGGAAGAAGCCAACGCCAGGAGUUCAGUGAUAGUUUACUCUGAGAGCGACAAAAGGGGCGCCGAAAUAGCUCAGUUGGGAGAGCGUUAGACUGAAGAUCUAAAGGUCCCUGGUUCGAUCCCGGGUUUCGGCAGAGCUUUCCUUUUUCAAUCCAGACAUUCGAAUUUCGUAAAUUCCCUUCUGUAAAGUAGCCUGGCUCAUUAAUUCCGGCGCAGGUAAAGCAUGAGACUUGAAGGGCGAGCGAGAAGUGGAAACAGCCGUUCUGGGGCAACCCUAGGUGGCUUCUCCUCCCGGCCACUUCCGGAGCGUUGGCGUCGGAGGCGCUGCUGCGCGUGCGCAAUGCGGCGCGUGGGGGCUGCAGCCGCCCCGCCCCCGCGGACGGCGCGUGGGGGCUGCAGCCGCCCUGCUCCAGCGGAGAGCCGGAUGUGCAGCGAUCCGGUGACCGCAGCGCCCCCGGGUGGUGAGAGGAGAAUUGCCAUGUGACCUGCUCUAAUAGAUGUCAGACACCAUCAGUUUCCAGUGGUGAAGGCUGAGAAAUACUGAACAUGCGUUGUCUCCUAGGGACCCUCUGAUACCAGGUAUCUCCUGGCUCUUGAUAACAGAUCAGGGGUAGUGUGUAGCUCUUUAUAAAUGGAGAGGGGUGUAAAGGGUGAAAGUGAAGUGUGGAGUCAGCCCUUAUUCCAGAAAAGAAAUGCUUUCAGUGGAAAGAACACCAUCACAUUAAAGAUUUAUAAGACUUAAUGCUCAGCCCAGGUCUUUAUUGUCAGCAGAAAGGUUGUGAAUAUCUCCUCUAGCUUCAAGGCCUUUAUCUUGGGUGGCCAGGGGGAAGGCUUUUUCUCCUGUUUCCUUGGUGAGCUUUUGGAAAAAACCUGGGCCCUCUGGGUCAUCUGAUAAAUUUCUAAUGGACAGGCAAGCGUUGCUAAAUGACUAUCUCUAAUUAUCCCAGACGCUGUAGUCAUUUUAGGUUAGAACUAGGAUGUAAUGAAACUGUUACAGUUGUUACGCACAAUAUAAAACUAGAUUAGCAUUUAAUAAUUCAUUGAGGCUUUUCAUGUAAUCAAUGUGUACAUGCCUUAAUGCCCAUUUUAUUAGUCUUGGGUCCUAUUUCUACUCAUUUAAAUGUAGAGUGGUUUAUAGUUUAGUUUCCUGUUAUAGUAUUUAUCCAUCUCAGACUUAUCUCAUGUUGAAAUCUGACGUUGGUCAGAAAUACAACUCCUGCUGGGAUUGGCCUUCAGUUCUGGGAAUACAUGAAUCCUGCACAAUCAUCCUUAACAGGUGAUGUCAGAAAGGACUGCUUUGUUUAAGGAUAGCUCACUUUGUUUAAAAUCUUGGAGGGUUGUUUGCAGAGUAGUGUUUGGGAGAGGGCCAGCAGACAGCCUGGGGAAUGAAGCAGGACAGUUUGAUGAGGGGCAAGGCUCUUCAUAAAAGAUGCCCAGCUCUCAUGUGAGUUCAAAAAAAUUGAAAAUUUCAUAUAAUGAGUUGUCUUAAAGCAGGGGUGUGCGAAUAUUUGACUGUUACUACCUAAAUAUAUUUUACAGUGCAUUUGGGGCAACCCUGCCUUUACAUACUCCACUGGCCUUCUAGUUCAGAGAAGCAAAGAAUGACCAGAGUUGCCAUUUCCAGAGUGCUGUCCAUGUGCCAGGCAUUCUAAGAUGGGAGUUCGAAUCCUGGGUUGGGAAGAGCCCCUGGAGAAGGAAAUGGCAACCCAUUCCAGGAUUCUUGCCUGGAAAAUCCCUUGGACAGAGAAGCCUGGUGGGCUACAGUCCAUGGGGUCACAAAAGAGUUGGACACCACUUAGCAACUAAAUGGCAAUAAGUGGUAGAUAAGACUAGUUAGUAAAGUUUAUUACAUAGGUUUUUCAGGUGCCAUUUGUGGGCUGAGUAGGGUGUACAUUUGUCUCCGGGGAUUAACUGCUGUCCUCUCUGGUAGAGAGGGAACGGGGAACAUCCUUACAAGUUUAUGUCCUAUUUUUAAGCAAAUGAGGGAGGUCAGAGAGCUUUGCUUAUAUCUGCUUCUUCUCUUCUCAAUUGCCUUUAGCGCAAAAUAAUAAUUUGCCAAAGUGGCAUGUUUGGGGUGGCAUGUUUGGGGUGGCAUGUUUGGGGUGGCAUGUUUGGGGUGGCAUGUUUGGGGCAGCAUGUUUGGAGUGGCAUAUGCUACCCUUGAGGCAGAAUCUGCUACCCUUCAAAAAUAUCUACUGAGAUAUGACUUCUUUGUUUUUGCUAUUGCUGGUAGUUCAUGAAGGAAGAGGGUGGAGUAGAGUGAGGUGCAGAUAUUGCUGGCAGAGAGCGUAAAAAGUGUGGUCUCAGUGGCAUGGAUCCUGUUGUCUCUUAAUCUUAAGUAUGUCUAGAAGCAAUACCAGUAUACCAGUAUACCUGAAUUUUAAAAAGCCUCAGAAUUUUAAAAAGCACUUUGCAUCCUAAGAUAGACCAAGACAACCCCCCAGGGGAUCUCUCUGACUGGUUAGAGUCCCCAUAAUAAAUGAAACUAUCAGCCUUUCCUGAAAGUUAUUAACUCUGUAUUAAAGAUAAUUUCAUUCACAACCAUCUCAAUGUUGUUAUCUGAAGACAGGUAGUAACCUUUGAAGAUAAAAAUACUGUGACAAAAUCACUUCUUCCCACCAUGAACAAACUAACUAUAAAUUUGAUAACACAGCUCAUCUGAGGUAUAGAUGUGGCUUAUUAGAUUUUUUUUGGAUUUAUUUAAGAGUUUCUUUUUUGUUUUCUUUUUAAGCCAGUCUUAAAAAAAAAUUAUUUAUAUAUUUAUUAUUUGGCUGCACCAUGCCUUAGUUGCUGCACGUGGGAUCGAGUUCCCUGACCAGACGGAACCUAACCCUAAUACUGCAUUGGGAGGGUGGAGUCUCAGCCACUGGACCACCAGGGAGGUCCCAAAGCCAGUCUUUUUAAAACUUGGAUUGCCUUAUCUAACCUCUCAGCAAGUAGAUUACUUGUUUUUUAAAAUUCGAAAUGCUUUUCUUAGAGCAAAUGUCUCCUUAAAGAUGGACUCAGUGCCCCUUAAAAUGGAAUCAGUGUUAGAAAAAAAAAAAAAAAAAAAAAAAAAAUUCAAUAGAGUUUCAAGCAAAUUGAAAUGGGUUUAGCUGCUCCUCAGCAUGUGGGAUCUACCUGGACCCAUGUCUCCUGCAUUGGUAGGCAGAUUCUUUACCACUGAGCCACCUGUGAAACCCUGAGCUGAACUUUUAAACCAUAUUUAGUAUCCCAUAAAGUACUGGAGAUAAUCUCACCCAAUAGCAAUGAUGCGUACAUUCCCUAAUUGGAUUGAAUGCUAAGGGAUUUUAAUAUUACAUCCAUAAACUAUAUCUAGAUUUGAACGAUCUAAUCUCUUAUGCUAGGAAUAAUUAUUAACAGAAAAGUUUGGUUUUGUUCCUUUUUUUAACAAAAUGAAGGCCUGAUUUAUUUAGCUGUUGAGAAGGCAGGAAUGGCAUACUGGUAGAGGGUGCAUAGAAACCACUCCAUUGUGAGCAUUGUUUUAUGUCAGGAUGGCAAACUGCUCCUAGAAAAAUGUAGUCAGGUGCCUGUUUAUUCCACAUCUGAUUCUGUUAGCGUCUCCUCAGUUAGUGUCCAUCUUUCAAGUUCUCGCUCACGUUUUGCCUCUCAUGAAGCCCAUUCGCCAUAGAUUAAGCUGCAAUGGAUCGCUCCCAUUUUAAUCUCCCAGUGUGCUCU
rnacentral:tRNA from 1 species